rnacentral:snRNA from 1 species
AUUGCUUCUCGGCCUUUUAGCUAAGAUCAAUUUUAGUUUCUGUUCUUGUCGAAUUAACCUUCGAUAGACAUUCGAACGAAUCUCGUUAAGUUUAAUGAUGCUGAGAUAUUGGCAAAACUCU